CCUACGGGAGGCUGCAGUGGGGAAUAUUGGACAAUGGGCGAAAGCCUGAUCCACCCAUGCCGCGUGUGUGAAGAAGGCCUUCGGGUUGUAAAGCACUUUCAGUGGGGAAGAAAGCCUUGGGGCUAAUACCCUCGAGGAAGGACAUCACCCACAGAAGAAGCACCGGCUAACUCCGUGCCAGCAGCCGCGGUAAUACGGAGGGUGCGAGCGUUAAUCGGAAUUACUGGGCGUAAAGCGCGCGUAGGCGGUCUGAUAAGCCGGUUGUGAAAGCCCCGGGCUCAACCUGGGAACGGCAUCCGGAACUGGCAGGCUAGAGUGCAGGAGAGGAGGGUAGAAUUCCCGGUGUAGCGGUGAAAUGCGUAGAGAUCGGGAGGAAUACCAGUGGCGAAGGCGGCCCUCUGGACUGACACUGACGCUGAGGUGCGAAAGCGUGGGUAGCAAACAGGAUUAGAUACCCCGGUAGUC
rnacentral:rRNA from 1 species